rnacentral:rRNA from 1 species
GACGAACGCUGGCGGCGUGCUUAACACAUGCAAGUCGAACGGAAAGGCCCUGCUUGCAGGGUACUCGAGUGGCGAACGGGUGAGUAACACGUGGGUGAUCUGCCCUGCACUUCGGGAUAAGCCUGGGAAACUGGGUCUAAUACCGGAUAGGAGCCAUUUUUAGUGUGAUGGUUGGAAAGUUUUUUCGGUGUAGGAUGAGCUCGCGGCCUAUCAGCUUGUUGGUGGGGUAAUGGCCUACCAAGGCGGCGACGGGUAGCCGGCCUGAGAGGGUGGACGGCCACAGUGGGACUGAGAGACGGCCCAGACUCCCACGGGAGGCAGCAGUUGGGAAUAUUUCACAAGGGGCGCAAGCCUGAUGCAGCGACUCCGCGGGGGGGAGGACGGCCUUCGGGUUGUAAACGCCUUUCGCUAGGGACGAAGCUUUUUGUGACGGUACCUAGAUAAGAAGCACCGGCUAACUACGUG